UUGAUGACUGAAAAAUUGUCAACUCAACUCAAAGGCUGCUCAGACAAAAGUGAUCAAGCCAGCACAGACCGGCUAUCAAGGAAUGCAAGGCACCGUCCAAGGGGGUCAAUUGGCCGAAAGGCGAGGCAAUAAACCAAAUGCCCGGUCCAGACUGGUGACAGAUUGAGCACACAGGUCCCGCGACAAGCCCGCCUGACUGUCUAGCGGUAAUAAAAUAUUUGAAGCACAAAGUUUUGGCCUCAAAUUGAUUAGUGGAGAUUCUGUCUCA